GAUUAGCACUCCCCUUGAUAAGGAUGGAAGAGGUCCUAAUGACUUUUACAACACACAUAUGGUUAAGGCAUUGCCAUUUACUUUGUGGCAUCUAACAUUGUUAAUGU